AUUCCAUGAUGUGGACACUUCCUUAACAAUUCCUUAAACCUCUCUCUCCUAUGUAUCAUAUAGCAUUUUUGACUCCAUCUGACAAAAGGAAGAGAUAUCAUUUUGCAUCU